GGUCUUUAGCAGUCCAUGUACUAAAAUUAAAGCAACACUGAGAAGAUUAGAUGGCCCUUGUUCAAGGAUGGCAUGCAAAGUCAGUAAUAGAUUUGAAAUCUUA
ensembl:snRNA U6 U6 spliceosomal RNA